rnacentral:misc_RNA from 1 species
GAUGAAGAACGUAGCGAAAUGCGAUACUUGGUGUGAAUUGCAGAAUCCCGUGAACCAUCGAGUCUUUGAACGCAAGUUGCGCCUCAAGCCAUUAGGUUGAGGGCACGUCUGCCUGGGCGUCACAUAUCGUUGCCUGAUGCCAGUUUCCUCGUGAUGGGUGACUGUGCAGGGCGAAUGAUGGCUUCCCGUGAGCAUUGUUGCCUCAUGGUUGGUUGAAAAUUGAGUCCUUGGUAGGGAGCGCCGUGAUAGAUGGUGGUUGAGUGACGAACGAGACCCAAUCAUGUGAGACCCCUACCGAAUUUGGCCUUCAUGACCCACAUGCGUCUUUGGAACGCUCAUGACGAGACCUCAGGUCAGGCGGGGCUACCCGCUGAGUUUAAGCAUAUAUAAGCGGAGGA